rnacentral:rRNA from 1 species
CCUACGGGAGGCAGCAGUGGGGAAUAUUGGACAAUGGGCGCAAGCCUGAUCCAGCCAUGCCGCGUGUGUGAAGAAGGCCUUCGGGUUGUAAAGCACUUUUAUCCGGAAAGAAAAGCUUUGGGUUAAUACCCUGAAGUCAUGACGGUACCGGAAGAAUAAGCACCGGCUAACUUCGUGCCAGCAGCCGCGGUAAUACGAAGGGUGCAAGCGUUACUCGGAAUUACUGGGCGUAAAGCGUGCGUAGGUGGUUUGUUAAGUCUGAUGUGAAAGCCCUAGGCUCAACCUGGGAAUUGCAUUGGAUACUGGCAGGCUAGAGUGCGGUAGAGGAUAGUGGAAUUCCCGGUGUAGCAGUGAAAUGCGUAGAGAUCGGGAGGAACAUCUGUGGCGAAGGCGACUAUCUGGGCCAGCACUGACACUGAGGCACGAAAGCGUGGGGAGCAAACAGGAUUAGAUACCCUGGUAGUCCACGCCCUAAACGAUGCGAACUGGAUGUUGGGUGCAACUAGGCACUCAGUAUCGAAGCUAACGCGUUAAGUUCGCCGCCUGGGGAGUACGGUCGCGAAGACUGAAACUUAAAUGAAUUGACGG